rnacentral:rRNA from 1 species
GACGAACGCUGGCGGCGUGCCUAAUACAUGCAAGUCGAACGCACUCUCGUUUAGAUUGAAGGAGUUUGCUCCUGAUUGAUAAACAUUUGAGUGAGUGGCGGACGGGUGAGUAACACGUGGGUAACCUGCCCUAAAGUGGGGGAUAACAUUUGGAAACAGAUGCUAAUACCGCAUAAAACCUAACACCGCAUGGUGUAGGGUUGAAAGAUGGUUUCGGCUAUCACUUUAGGAUGGACCCGCGGUGCAUUAGUUAGUUGGUGAGGUAAAGGCUCACCAAGACCGUGAUGCAUAGCCGACCUGAGAGGGUAAUCGGCCACACUGGGACUGAGACACGGCCUAGACUCCUACGGGAGGCAGCAGUAGGGAAUCUUCCACAAUGGACGAAAGUCUGAUGGAGCAACGCCGCGUGAGUGAAGAAGGUUUUCGGAUCGUAAAACUCUGUUGUUGGAGAAGAAUGUAUCUGAUAGUAACUGAUCAGGUAGUGACGGUAUCCAACCAGAAAGCCACGGCUAACUACGUG